CGCACGGGUGCGUAACGCGUAUACAAUCUACCUAUUACUAAGAGAUAGCCCAGAGAAAUUUGGAUUAAUAUUUUAUAGUAUUAUCGAUUGGCAUCAAUUGAUAAUUAAAGGUUACGGUAAUAGAUGAGUAUGCGUCCUAUUAGCUAGAUGGUAAGGUAACGGCUUACCAUGGCUACGAUAGGUAGGGGUCCUGAGAGGGAGAUCCCCCACACUGGUACUGAGACACGGACCAGACUCCUAUGGGAGGCAGCAGUGAGGAAUAUUGGACAAUGGGAGCAAUCCUGAUCCAGCCAUGCCGCGUGCAGGAAGACUGCCCUAUGGGUUGUAAACUGCUUUUAUACAGGAAGAAAAAGGUGUACGUGUACACUGUUGACGGUACUGUAAGAAUAAGGAUCGGCUAACUCCGUGCCAGCAACCGCGGUAAUACGGAGGAUCCAAGCGUUAUCCGGAAUCAUUGGGUUUAAAGGGUCCGUAGGCGGGAUAAUAAGUCAGUGGUGAAAGUCUGCAGCUCAACUGUAGAAUUGCCAUUGAUACUGUUGUUCUUGAGUUAUUGUGAAGUGGUUAGAAUGAGUAGUGUAGCGGUGAAAUGCAUAGAUAUUACUCAGAAUACCGAUUGCGAAGGCAGAUCACUAACAAUGAACUGACGCUGAUGGACGAAAGCGUAGGUAGCGAACAGGAUUAGAUACCCUGGUAGUCUACGCCGUAAACGAUGGUUACUAGCUGUUCGGGUCAAUUGAGACCUGAGUGGCUAAGCGAAAGUGAUAAGUAACCCACCUGGGGAGUACGUUCGCAAGAAUGAAACUCAAAGGAAUUGACGGGGGCCCGCACAAGCGGUGGAGCAUGUGGUUUAAUUCGAUGAUACGCGAGGAACCUUACC
rnacentral:rRNA from 1 species